rnacentral:tRNA from 1 species
GCGCCCUUAGCUCAGUCUGGUAGAGCAGCUGACUCUUAAUCAGCGGGUCCCAGGUUCAAAUCCUGGAGGGCGUACCA